rfam:Geobacter metallireducens GS-15, complete genome.
UUCUCUCUGCCAUGCGCGUCAGGCUGAUAUGCCCCAGCGGAACAUUUACGUAAGACGGGGGUUCUUUCUACCGUGGUGUGCUGCCCCAUCAUGUGGGAUUUGCCUGAAGCGGUACAGAGCCUGCCACCUGUAAGGAACUCGCUGUGAGGCCCUUACAAGCCAACGGCAUGGUGGAGGGAUU